rnacentral:misc_RNA from 1 species
AAGUCGUAACAAGGUUUCCGUAGGUGAACCUGCGGAAGGAUCAUUAAAGAGUAAGGGUCUCUGGCCCGAACCUCCAACCCUCUGUUGUUAUAACUACUUCGUUGCUUUGGCGGGACCGCGAAGGUUCUCCCGAGCGCGCCGGUCUUCGGACAGGCGAGCGCCCGCCAGAGUCUAACCAAACUCUUGUUUUAUCAUGUUGUCUGAGCACUAUUUAAUAGUUAAAACUUUCAACAACGGAUCUCUUGGUUCUG